rnacentral:rRNA from 1 species
CACGUAGGGUGCGAGCGUUGUCCGGAAUUAUUGGGCGUAAAGAGCUCGUAGGCGGUGUGUCGCGUCGGCCGUGAAAACCUGCAGCUUAACUGUGGGCUUGCGGUCGAUACGGGCAUCACUGGAGUUCGGCAGGGGAGACUGGAAUUCCUGGUGUAGCGGUGAAAUGCGCAGAUAUCAGGAGGAACACCGGUGGCGAAGGCGGGUCUCUGGGCCGAUACUGACGCUGAGGAGCGAAAGCUGGGGGAGCAAACGGG